rnacentral:rRNA from 1 species
GGUGAACACUGACAGAAUGCUUAACACAUGCAAGUCUACCAAGAAUCACUUCGGUGAGGAAUGGUGGCGGACGGGUGAGUAACGCGUAAAUAAUCUGCCCUUUAGACUGGGAUAUCCUUUGGAAACGAAGGUUAAUACCGGAUAUUAUGAGAUGGACGCAUGUUCAACUUAUGAAAGCUAAAUGCACUAGAGGAGGAGUUUGCGUCCCAUUAGCUAGUUGGUGAGGUAAAGGCUCACCAAGGCCACGAUGGGUAGCCGGCCUGAGAGGGUGAACGGCCACAAGGGAACUGAGACACGGUCCUUACGCCUACGGGAGGCAGCAGUGGGGAAUAUUGGACAAUGGACCAAAAGUCUGAUCCAGCAAUUCUGUGUGCACGAUGAAGGUCUUCGGAUUGUAAAGUGCUUUCAGUAGGGAAGAAAAAAAUGACGGUACCUACAGAAGAAGCGACGGCUAAAUAUGUGCCAGCCGCCGCCGUAA